AACGCUGGCGGCGUGCUUAACACAUGCAAGUCGAGUGCGCGCCCGUAGCAAUACGGGUGGCGCACGGCGCACGGGUGCGUAACACGUGGGUACCUGCCCUUUGAUGGGGAAUAACCCCGCGAAAGCGGGGCUAAUACCGCAUAAGAUCCGCAAGGAUGAAAGCCGAAAGGCGUCGAAGGAGGGGCCUGCGCACGAUUAGCUAGUUGGUAGGGUAACGGCCUACCAAGGCAAUGAUCGUUAGCUGGUCUGAGAGGAUGGCCAGCCACACUGGAACUGAGACACGGUCCAAACUCCUACGGGAGGCAGCAGUGGGGAAUCUUGCACAAUGGGCGAAAGCCUGAUGCAGCGACACCGCGUGGGGGAUGAAGCUUCUCGGAGUGUAAACCCCUUUCGACCCGGACGAAUACCCUGCAAAGGGGGUGACGGUACGGGUAUAAGAAGCCCCGGCUAACUACGUGCCAGCAGCCGCGGUAAGACGUGGGGGGCCAGCGUUGCUCGGAAUUACUGGGUGUAAAGGGUCAGUANGCGGUGUGGCAAGUCGGGAGUGAAAUCUCUGGGCUUAACUCA
rnacentral:rRNA from 1 species